UACAGAGGGGGCAAGCGUUGUUCGGAAUUACUGGGCGUAAAGGGCGCGUAGGCGGCCUGUUAAGUCGAACGUGAAAUCCCCGGGCUCAACCUGGGAACUGCGUCCGAUACUGGCAGGCUUGAAUCCGGGAGAGGGAUGCGGAAUUCCAGGUGUAGCGGUGAAAUGCGUAGAUAUCUGGAGGAACACCGGUGGCGAAGGCGGCAUCCUGGACCGGUAUUGACGCUGAUGCGCGAAAGCCAGGGGAGCAAACGGG
rnacentral:rRNA from 1 species